rnacentral:rRNA from 1 species
GAUGAACGCUAGCGGGAGGCCUAACACAUGCAAGCCGAGCGGUAUUAUUUCUUCGGAAAUGAGAGAGCGGCGUACGGGUGCGGAACACGUGUGCAACCUGCCUUUAUCUGGGGGAUAGCCUUUCGAAAGGAAGAUUAAUACUCCAUAAUAUAUUGAACGGCAUCGUUUGAUAUUGAAAGCUCCGGCGGAUAGAGAUGGGCACGCGCAAGAUUAGCUAGUUGGUGAGGUAACGGCUCACCAAGGCAAUGAUCUUUAGGGGGCCUGAGAGGGUGAUCCCCCACACUGGUAAUGAGACACGGACCAGACUCCUACGGGAGGCAGCAGUGAGGAAUAUUGGUCAAUGGGUGCAAGCCUGAACCAGCCAUCCCGCGUGAAGGACGACUGCCCUAUGGGUUGUAAACUUCUUUUGUAUAGGGAUAAACCUUUCCACGUGUGGAAAGCUGAAGGUACUAUACGAAUAAGCACCGGCUAACUCCGUGCCAGCCGCCGCGGUAAGAC